AACAUCCUAGGUACAUGCCAUUAUCAAUACUCAACAUACUUUACCUCAUUGAAUUCGGGAUCGGCCUGGAAUGCUGAUUCAACAGUCUAGCCUUAACUUAACCUGCGCACGGAAACAAACCGUACGCUGAGUAUAUACUCAGUGGUAUUUCUAUAAUCCAAACACUUAAUAAUAUAACAAUUAAACUUAAAAUCACAAUAACAAUUAUAAGUAUUCAUUUAUUUAUUUUAUAGAUUAAUUUCAUUUACUUUCUGUAUAAAUUCUAUACAAUAUAUUCACAAUUCACUUGUAUUCACACUUUACUUCUUAACAAUAUAUCAUUUUAAUUCAUUCUAACAUCAAUCAUCAUCCAUUUGAACUUCACUCAUUUCAUGAACCUUUUGGUUCAUGUUUUCAAUCUCAUAUCUCAAUUUCAAUUCUCAAUUCAAUUUCUCAUUUCAUUCCAAUAGCUCAAUCAAUCAAAUUCACUCGAUUUAUCUUUUCACUUAUUUACCUCUAUUAACAAGACUCGGACUCUGAUAGAUACGCGGAUUCCUCCCAAACACACCAGAAUAUCCAACCCAAACACACCCGGAAUAUUAUAAAUCCUCCAUAACACACCAGUAUAUCAUAUAUAUAAUAUAUAUUUCAAUCAAUAUAAAUUUAAUCAAAAUGAUUUCAAUCAAUAUAAAUUUGAUAAAUUCAUCACAUACCAAAAUCAUUCCAUUUCAAUUGUAAAACAUCAUAAUUCUAACACUAACAGUUGUCAUAUGUAUAUAAAUAUAACAAAUAAUGACUGAGUUCGGAUUAUAGAAAUACAAACCGUAGUUUUUGAGCUAACUCCCGUUGACUUUGUCUUGUCCUUUCUUAGCCAAGAUUUCCGGUACCACAUUGACUACGAAAUUAAUACAAUUCAUAAUCAUUAAUACAUUACUAAUUUAUAUCUUGAGUUACAGAAUUCUAAAUUAAGAUUCGCUAAUUUUUCCUGAAACUAGACUCACAAAUCUUCUUACCAUAAAAUUUUCAGAAUUUUUGGUUUAGCCAUUAAGUACAGUUUAUUCUUUAAAUUCACCCCUAUUCUGCUGUCUGACAGUUUCGACCCUUCUUCACUAAAAAUUAAUUAUCUCACAGUACAGAACUCCGAUAAUAUUCCCAUUGAUUUCUCAUAAAAAUAGACUCCUUAGGGAUUCUAAACAGAUAACUUUAACCCUCUAAUUAUUUUUCUCCAAUUUUUGGUGAUUUUCCAAAGUCAGAACAGGGGAACCCGAAUUCAUUCUGACCUUGUCUCACAAAAUUCAUUAUAUCUCAUAAUUUACAAUUCAAUUGCUUAAACCGUUUCUUUUAUAAGAAACUAGACUCAAUAAGAUUUAAUUUCAUCUUUUAUUCAUCCUCUAAUUCAAUUUCUAUAAUUUUGGUGAUUUUUCAAACUUAGACUACUGCUGCUGUCCAAAAUAGUUUUAGUGCAAAAUGUUGAUUUUCUACUUUUAAUUUCAAUUUAAUCCUAACUAAAAUCACUUACUUUUCUAUCUUAAUUCAUACUUUAUUUCUACUCAAUUUUUAACCAAACUUAGACAUAAUUAUCAAUUUUUCAUCAUAAAACCAUAAUUUCAAAAUUCUUUCAAUUUAGUCCUUAAAGCAUAAAACUUAUGAAUCACUUUACAAUUCAAUCCUUAUUUCAUUUCUAACUUGAAUUUCUAUCAAUUUAGCCUUUAAUUCAUCAUUUUACUCAACAUGAAUAAUAUUUAUAAAUAUAAUAACUUUCAAAAUAUCAACUUAAUUUCAUCAAAACUUUGUUCUAAAGCUUUUAAAACAUCAAAAUUAAGUAAAAAGGGCUAAAUUGACAUACCUAUUAAAGUUUAAAGCUUCAAAACCUUGAUUUUCCCUUUUCUCCCUUUCUUUCUUUCUUUCCUUUCUUUCUCCCCUGUUUCGGUUCUC
rnacentral:lncRNA from 1 species